GCGCGGCCCGCAGCUCGGGCGCCAGCGGGAAGGAGGCGUGUGCCCGCGGCGCGGGCCCGCUGGUGCGCGCGGCCAUGAGCGCCUAGUCGGGCGCGUGCUCCGCCCUCCGUCCGCGGGGGAACGCAACCCCCGAGACCCGCAAGCGCCGGCAGAGUGAACAGAACACUGCAGUCAUAACAUCAGGCACCUAUGUGAGGAAAUUGGACUGUGAUAAUUCACCAUGGCUUAUGGCUUGCCAAGAAAGAACACAGUGAAAACCAUAUUGCGGGGCGGUUGUUUUAAAGUACAGGAACCUUGGGAUCUUGCACUGCUUACAAAGACCUGGUACAUGAACCUAGCCAACAUCAAAUUGCCUUUCUUGGAAGAAAUUACAUUUGGUAGUCCUUUUUACCUCCAAAAAAAUAAAACCACUAAGAGUGCUCUGCUCCCUUCUGCAGAAUCCAUCAAACUUGAAAGGGAGUAUGAGAUGAAGCGCUUGAAAAACCUGAAAUGUCAGAAAAUCCUAGCUGAGGAAGUUCAGUUUUCUCUAAGGGAAAGGCAAGUUGGUUUGAGAAGACCCCUUCCACCUAAGUGACCAUCAUCUCAUAAUUGAAUCUGUACUCUGAGCUUUCCACAUCCAAAGGCAAUGAAGGUCUCCAGCCUUUCACAGUGUGAAGUUUGGUGCAGACAUGAGUACCCACUGGUGGAUGAACCAGCUCCUGUGGGUUGAUGGACAGCUCUGACAGAUCUUCUGUGUCCCUACCACAUACUUGUUUCUUUGUGUCACAAGCAACAACACUACCUUAUUAUGUGGAAAACUCUUAUUUGCAGAAGGGCUAGAGAAUGGGGAACUGAUCAGCUGGAAAAUAUUGGACUUGUGUGAACCAAUUUUCCUAGAAUUUGAAUCCAUUAAGGCACGCUUGGAUAUCAAAGUUAUAUUUAAGCACAAUUUAGUGUUCGUUAGAUGAAUCAAAGCAUACUUAGGGGGCCAUAAUACACCCCUGUGGGCCCACAGUUUGACUUCUUAACUAGGGAAUUAUAUCUGGUGGUUGCUGUUUGACAAUAUUUGGAAGCUGUUGUCUGAAUUAUCUUCAGAUACUUUCUUCUACCUAUGAUAUGGUGGCUCACAUGAAGGUCAUUUGUUUUCAGAAGUGUGUCAGUGACCCAUUUGAUUUAGUGAUCCUCAGGCCUGGAAAAAGCUGUCUGUAUGUAGUCUUGAGGAGGUGGAACUGCCACAUUCCUGGUUAGAUUUGCUUAACAAAAUUCAGAUGUGCUUCAUGUAAGAUGCUUAGCUGCCAACCAGAGCCACUCCCAAAGUUUCUUGGCUGAGUGUGUGGGAUUUUCACUUUGUUACCCAGUUGUACCACGUAUCUCCCCUUUUUUCCACAUCUGUUCUCUCCGCUUGUUCUUUCUUCCAUUUGACUAGUUUUUGUCCCCCUUCCACCAAUGUUAUUAUCAUAAAUAUGGCAGCUGAGUUGCUGACUGCUUAAAAUGUGGAAAAUACCACUUUAUAAUUUCUCAACCAAAGACCAGUCUUAGGCAAAAAGUCAGUGUAUUUCUAUUUCUUUAGAAAUCAAAAUCAAUUCAUUAUUUUCUUUAAAAAAAUAAUCACAUCCAGCUGUAUCAACAUAUGUUUUGGAUAGUAAUGGGAUUAAUUGCAUGUUUAUUUUUGUAGUUCACAUCCCAUGGAGUAGUUUGUGUACUUUCCCUUUUAGGGUCACUGUUACUAAUUCAUCUAGACUGGAGAUAACACCUCAAAUAGUUUCUUUGAAAACUAGAAAUAUUUUUCAAUCUAUAGCCCACAAUUCUACUGCACACUGUAUCUAACAUUGUUGCUAUUAGUAAGUUUUAAUUUCUUAAAAGUCAUAUUUAUGUAGAUAGGAGUAGAAAGUUAAGUAGUAGUAAGUAGUAGAAAGAAAGCUGUAGGUUUUAGUUAAUAGAUCUGGGUUCUAGUCCCCUCCCUUUCUUUCCCUGAUUCAUCAGGUAUCCUUGAGAAACCUUUUUUUUUUGUAGAAGUUUAUUUAUUUUGAUAGAGAGUGAGUGGGGGAGGGACAG